rnacentral:rRNA from 1 species
AGCGAACGCUGGCGGCAGGCCUAACACAUGCAAGUCGAACGAACUCUUCGGAGUUAGUGGCGGACGGGUGAGUAACACGUGGGAACGUGCCUUUUGGUUCGGAAUAACUCAGGGAAACUUGUGCUAAUACCGAAUGUGCCCUUCGGGGGGAAGAUUUAUCGCCAUUAGAGCGGCCCGCGUCUGAUUAGCUAGUUGGUUAGGUAACGGCUCACCAAGGCGACGAUCAGUAACUGGGCUGAGAGGCUGACCAGCCACACUGGGACUGGGACACGGCCCAGACUCCUACGGGAGGCAGGAAUGGGGGACGGUGCGCCAUGGGCGGAAGCCUGACGGAGCCAGGCCCGGUGAAUGAUGAAGGUCGUAGGGUUGUAAAAUUCUUGUAACGGGGCAGAUAAUGACGGUACCCGGAGAAGAAGCCCCGGCUAACUUCGUG